rnacentral:rRNA from 1 species
GUCCACGCCGUAAACGAUGGAUACUAGCUGUUGGGCGCAAGUUCAGUGGCUAAGCGAAAGUGAUAAGUAUCCCACCUGGGGAGUACGUUCGCAAGAAUGAAACUCAAAGGAAUUGACGGGGGCCCGCACAAGCGGUGGAGCAUGUGGUUUAAUUCGAUGAUACGCGAGGAACCUUACCAAGGCUUAAAUGUAGACUGACCGGUUUGGAAACAGACUUUUCGCAAGACAGUUUACAAGGUGCUGCAUGGUUGUCGU